GGGAAAGGGCAAAUACGAGAGGGAAGGAGAGUGAUCUCUGAUGAGAUUAGGGCAACACUUGUUGAUCAUGUAAUCAACCAUGGUUUGACAGUGAGAGUCCAGCCCAACUUGAGUCGAUUUACAGUGGCGUCCAUAAUUCGAACCUUCAGAAAUUAGAACAAAGUGGAAAGGCUAAGACAUCAUUGAGGAUGAGGACGCUUGUUUACAGAUGUACAAGAGACUGCAAUUAUAAAAAUGGUUUUGGCCAACAAUGCAAUUAAGAUUUGAGAGAUAAGAGAGCAUAUCUUGAGUAAUGACACCAUAUUCAACAACAUCAAUGCUGUAAGCCUGUUGACCAUACAACGCAUCCUCCAACGGCACCAAGUGACGAUGAAACAACUUUACAAGGUGCCAUUUGAGAGAAACUCUGACAGAUUCAAGAAUCUGCGACAUGACUUUGUAGAGGGUAAUAUAACCAUGUGUGCUACCAUCACUCAAAACUGGGUCCUCCAUCACAAUGCCACACUGUCCAUACAACACCGGCCAUAUACUCACUUUUCUUGAUGCAAUUCACACAAUGCUUGUCCCUGACCGAGAUCAGGUGCCUGCUAGGUUUGUGGUUAUAUGGGACAAUGUUAGAUUUUACCGGGCUGUUCUGGUCCAAAAUUACCUUUUUUUAAAAAAAAAGACCAUAUUCACCUUUUCUAAAUCGCAUAGAGGAAUUCUUCUCAGCCUGGCGCUGGAAAGUGUAUGAUCGCCAACCCUUGGCCCACAUGCCACUUCUCCUGGCAUGUGGGGACAUAGAGGUUGCCUCCCCCACCCACCAACCCCUUGCCAAUUCCUGGACCAGGACCCCACACACAAUUUGUGUUCUACUGUAAUUUUUGGCCUAAUACUGUACAUAUUUUCUGUUUCUACUUUGCAUUGCCGUUUCCGGUAUACUUGUUACCCCUUUCAGCAGAUUACUUUCACUGUACGACAUUGUAUUGAAAUG